AGCAGUCGCCGCGGUAAAACGUAGGUGGCGAGCGUUGUCCGGAAUCAUUGGGCGUAAAGGGAGCGCAGGCGGGCAUGUAAGUCUUUCUUAAAAGUGCGGGGCUCAACCCCGUGAUGGGAAAGAAACUACAUGUCUUGAGUACAGGAGAGGAAAGCGGAAUUCCCAGUGUAGCGGUGAAAUGCGUAGAUAUUGGGAGGAACACCAGUGGCGAAGGCGGCUUUCUGGACUGCAACUGACGCUGAGGCUCGAAAGCCAGGGGAGCGAACGGGAUUAGAGACCCGCGUAGUCCCUGUCUCUUAUACA
rnacentral:rRNA from 1 species